CUACAAAGAUGGACUUGAAAAUGAAGUAGUAUACAAGAUAUUCAGUAAGUAUUCCAAGAGAUAUUUUAGGAGUCUUGGGAAUUAAUUCCAGAUACAAAUCAAAAGUUUUGUCCCUGGUCGCUGGGCAAGAGCUCUUAGAAAAGACCGAGAGUAAUUAAAUAAGCAGGCAGCAUGUGCAAAUCAGUUCAAACCAAUACGAACAAAGGCAACUUGUUUUAAAUAUGGACAAAUGCCUUUGAUAGCAAGGUCAGAUUAAAAAAAUAAAAAUUGGACUACUUAUAAAGAGAACUUUCUCCACUUUGACAAAUAUAUUUCCUCCUAUGUUUCUCUGCACUGUGUCAGGAUCCCUGCAUGCAGAUGUAAGGGACUGUGUCUCUGGGUGCUGCUCAGCCAAGCAACAGCAGUGUCGUCAGGUGCAGUGGCUCUGGGUCUGAGCAGCGUAUCUGGCUGCAGGGCUGAGUUCAGGUCCAGACAGUCCAGGAGCUGGAUCAGAGUCUGAUGACCAUCUGCACUGAGUCUGUCAGCCAAAACCGUCUUGGCCAGUACAGUGCUGGGGAGCGAUCGCGUCUUUGUCUCUUUUUGAUCUUUCAGAUUACCCUGGGAAUCAGAGGAGCUACUGGAAAAGCAUAACACAGGGCUCAGCAGGAGAAUAACCGUCCUGGACCUGGGCCCUCUUGGAGCAGCAACUCUUAUUCUUGGAGGUGAGUACAUUUAUUUUGGAGUCUUUGCAGUGUUGCCUCCAUAUACUAGGUGUGCAUUUAUUACUGAUAGAUUGCCUCGACGGGGAGCUGUUGCGUUUCCUCCAGGCUCUUGGAGAUGGAUGACCAUUUGGAUUCCGUAGGCACACGUCAACCAGACUGGAGUGCAAAGCUCUCAUGGAGAUAGUCUUUCUUGGUGUAAAUCCAUCACUAUGCCCCUGAAGAGUCAUUCUCUUGAUGUUCAAAGUACAGAUCAGAAUGCUGCUCAGGCCACUUCCCUAUCUCUCACCUCCAAGAUAUUUGUAUGUUAUUUCGUAACACAGUUCCUGGGCCAAUGUUCUCUGACUACAAAGGUGGUAAAAAAAAUCAGUUCCCAAUGUGUUAGGGAUGCAGCUGUGAUUAAAUUCCUUAUCAAGGGAAGCUUUCUCAUGUAUUUGUGUGUUCAAGCCACCAAGCCAGUUCUGCAACAGGAUGUGGCACCAAGAUUUUCCUGUCUAUCCAAUGUCUUAUCUGAGAAGAGACCAACUUGACUCACGGCUAAUGAGGUUGCCGACUAAAUCCAUAAGGCAAAUUCACAUGUAUUAGGCUGACAAGAGAUCUAAUUAUGGGGUGUUGGAAUCAUUUUGAUACCCACAGGAAUAGAAGCACUUGUAAUAAAAGGAAAUCUGCCAACAGGGAACUAAGAUUUUACUGAUCAGGAGUUAGUGAUUGGCCCCAUAGGCUGAGAAAGAAUUAGCAACAACUAAUGGGAUGCAAUGAGAUGUGCAUAUUUACAUGAUCUGAAUGCCAUGCAUUCUUAGAUGGCUAACAGCCACUGUUGGACUUUUUAUGAAGAUCUUCUUGCUCAUGAGGGGGAAAAUGGCAGGAUUUUGUGCUGCAAAUCACUUGAUCCUGUUUGAUCCAAACUGUCUUCAGUCUACUCUGCUCAUCUUUUUUUUUUUUCUUGCCCCUUGCUCAAGAACUGACAAAAGUUCAUUACAAACAGUAGAAGGGACAAUUUCUAGUUUUUGUUUUCAUGUCACCAAUAGCCACUGAGGGUAAAGAAACCAAGAAAGAGCCACAAACAUCCCUAACAUUUUUAACCAUGAAUAGCUACAAAGAGAAGCAAACAGCACAGAGCUGUUGCUUUUUUGGAAAAAUCCCAGUUGGAUAUAUGUAACUUCAGUGAAAUCCACUCUAAUACAGACCUGAAGAGCAACAGCACAUUUAAAACUGCUCCUCCAGCUUCCUGGGGGAAGAGAAAAGAGAGGCAGCAUGUUCUGACCUGCUCCAGGAGCAGGAGCCGGAGGCAGUUCACAAGGAUACCAACAGGGCAAAUUGGAAAGGUGGAAAGGAGCAAGCAUGUGUAUUUCUAAUGCAGAGCAGCUACUCCCAAAAGCAAAUCCUUUGAAGAAAAUGUGCAGGUAAGAACCAUUAAACACUCUUGGGAGAGAAAAGGUUGACAUCAUAUUUUUUCCUCUACAUAAAAAUGUAUUCCUACAUACCUUACUUUGUAAGGCAUGCCUAAGAGUCCAGCCCUCUUAUUAUCCUCCAGUGUUAUUCCCCUCUUUUCUUAUGCUAACUCACUUGUGGGGAAAAAAAAAAUAACAGCAAAGCACUCUAUUAAUGGAAAACCUCUUCACUUCAAUGGAGCCAAGAAAUGCAAGAAACGCACACUGUCCCUGAAUUCAGCUCAAGGGAAUGAAGAAUGGAAGUAAUUCACAGCCAUCUUAUACCCGUCUAAGUCUCUCUCUCUCCAUCUCAUCCUACAGGCUUUUUCAUCUUUAGUCUCAGUGGCACAGUGGCAGAUGUCACUUUGGCACUGCUUCUGAGCUGUUCUCUGUGAAUUAACAGUGGAAUUCGAUACAGGAUCAGGUUCUAACAACCUCACUCAGUGACCCGGUACCAUCUAACUACCAGGAAUAUCGUCAAAGUUAAAGGUUCCCAAAGGCUGUUACUGGUGAUCCUACCAGUGUGCCAGCUAGAGUCCCCACCAUCUCCUCUGACCACAAAUUUGCAGGCAUAUCUCUGGGUGUGGCUGGAACAUACUCUCCAAAGGAUGCUGAGAAUCAAAUAUCAGCUGCCCCCAGCAAGUGCCAUGCCCAUUGUAUAGAUGUGCUGCUCAUCAAGAUAAAAGGAAUAAGGAUCUAUCUCAAAGCACUUAGGUAUGAUUAAAUAAAGGAUGCCAUUUCCUGUGCUGCUAAUCUGGUUCCUUUCAAAAUCACUAACUUCACUUUCUGAAAAGUUACCAUCUUUUAAUUCUCACGGGUCUCCUCUACAGUUCUCCUCCUCCUUCCUGAGAAGGGGUGAUCCACUUCAUGAUACAACAGGAGCUCACAGGACUGAUUAAAGUGAACUCCAUGCAACACAAACAGUGAUUUUUCAUGUACAAAAUGAAAGAAUUGAACUGCUCUCUCUUUUGAGUUUUGUCUGGGUCAGGAUACCCAAUUAACCUGCAGGUUCCUGUACUGGCAGUUACCUGCUCUUCACUUUGAAAUCAAGUCACUCUCCUGUUUUGGGAGCUCGCCUGCUCUGAAAGCCUUCCUGUUCUUUAAUAUGAUAGAAUAAAGCAGAAGCAGCUACUACGAAAAAAAAAAAAAAAAAAGAAAGAAAGAAAGAAAAACCAGGCUCAUUCCAUAUGGCCUCUUACUCUACAUUUUGAGUAUGACUGUCGAAAGUUCAAUAACAUCUUAACUGCUUGGCUACUAAGAGGCAAGCUAUUUUAGGACUUCAAUAUUUGGCACGUAUGUAUGAAGUCAAGUAAGGCUUUAGGUUAUACAUUCCCACCCAUAACACUUCCAGGGUUUAGACUGCACAACCUCUGCGUGUGUAUUUUUUGGUGCCAUUCUUAUUUGCAGAAACCCAGUCAGAUUAUAUACCUCACUGUUCUUUCCAGAUUAGGCACCACAUGCAACAUAGCUUCACGCAGAGUACUCUCAUGUUUGGUAGUCCUACUUUUUUCUUUUUUUCUCCACUUCUUUUUUGGCUUGCAGGAUUUGUGCUGAAGCAGAAAAACAGAGGACUGUGUAUUUAUUGACAUAAGUUCAAGCAUGUGAGAGUGAAGCUGAGAGUGUGACUAAGCAGGCUCUUACCUGCAGUAACCAUACAAAAUGUCCAUUGAACAUAUGAGGAAGGACUGCGUAGGCAGUGAAGCCAAAUCUCUUCCAGGCACAAUGAAACCCCAAGGCUGCAGCCAUGGUGCUUGACACUUGAAGUGCAACACACAUCUGACCACACUGAAUGCAUUGCAUGCCUCUACUUUGGACUGUUGCUCUGUGAAAGUGUGUGUUGAGCAAAGCCAUAGGCAAAAAUGAGUUAGAUGCAUCUGACAUGGGGGCAUGUGCUGCAUAAAUCACAACCUGUAUCUCUGUCUCAGCCUAGGUGGGAAUGUGACUGCUGUGACAUGUCAGAGCCCAUCUCUGCUCACACUGCUUAGGUUCAUUGAUAGUAUGCAAGUAAUGAAAAUCUGCAGAGAGUCACAUACAACUGAUGUCUCUCUGCUGCAUAGUGUAGCAUGUAGAAGAAAGUUAUUUAUACACUGAGCCUGACUUUCCUUUAUCCUAUGUCACGGACAGAAUUUUACAUUUGUGCAAAAGGAUGACAAAGUCAGCAUGGUAAUGGAAGGUGCAAGAAAACGGAGAAUGGGGUUUACAGCACAAAGGGAUCUACAUAUUUUUUUCUACAAAUACAGGCUUUGGCCAGAGCUCACUAAGCUAUGAUUUUAAACUGGAUGUUUCGGAAGUGAUGAAAAUCAGUGAAAACCAUACUUUUAACUAUCUCUCCAUAAGACUUUCUUCAAGGUGAUCUUAAAGUAUUUGCACUGUUUUGGAGCGGACCUUUUCACUCCAACUUUAAUUUCACAUAUGUGCCACAGAUUGUAAGGCCCUACCACACCAUGAAAUUAAAUCAUCUGUGAGAGAAAGUCUUGUGCUAACCGCAUGGCGGCUGGCCACUAUAACUUUAGAAAAGUUAGAUUUUCUGCAUCCCAAGGCUGCUUCAGAGCUUCUCAUCAUUACAGUUCCCUUGGUGUCCACCUCCUUCCUUGACAGCCAUUUGGCCUGUCCAGCCUCCAGCUUCAGUCAGGUUUCUCUCACCACUUAUACCUGAUCUUUUGACUCUGAGUACCUGAAACAAUUCUCACGCAAUCUACUAAGCAAUAUAAAAUGAGAUAAUCCGCAAAGCUUUUCCAAAAACUAUGAACAAAUCUCCCACUUGAAAACCGCCACUCCCUUUCCGCAGUACCUUGGGCAGUAUGAAAGUCAUAUGAGAAAAUUGACUGGGGGGAGAAAAUGGAAGUACAUUUCAAAAUUGUAGUGCAUCCUGAUGGAAUAGUGUUUGUAAAAACACGCAUGUCUUUGUCAGUUGUUUUUUGUUUGUUUGUUUGAUUGAUUGAUUGAUUUUGUUUGACUUUUUUGCUUCCUGUUGGGAUAUUUUGACGAAUAAGUCAAAAAUUGCCUCCCACCAGUUAACAGGUUAGAGAUGAAUGCAAAGUUGAAGAUGGCAUCAUCUCCAAAGGGCAGAGUAGGAAGGGAGAGCAGCAUGAGUAGUGCUCAUGUGGAGGGUAUGGAGUGCUUACAGACUGAAUAGAGAUGGGACAUAAGGCUAAGGAAGGAACUCCUAUACUCUGAGCCUACUUUGGUCCAUCCAUUGCAACAUCUAUGCCAUAGCACUGACCUUUUUUCCCCAACUUGUUUUCUUUUUCUUUCUUUUUCAAACAAAAUUCUGGGUUGAGUAUUUUGUCCACAGAAUGUCUGAAAAAAAAAAAAAACAACACCAAAACCUCUUCCUUUACAUAAGCUUUCUCAAGAUCUUCCAUACAGUAGUCUUAUGUUGUUUUUGUUAGGUUAGAAUGAACCAUUCUUUAUCAGCUGGAAAUCUGCUACAGGACAGAUGCCAGCAUGAUUGCAAGAGAUGGUAAACCUCAAAAAGCAUGAGAUCUGGUUUGG
rnacentral:lncRNA from 1 species